rnacentral:rRNA from 1 species
UGAGGAAUAUUGGUCAAUGGACGCAAGUCUGAACCAGCCAAGUAGCGUGCAGGAUGACGGCCCUAUGGGUUGUAAACUGCUUUUAUGCGGGGAUAAAGUGUGCGACGUGUCGUGCAUUGCAGGUACCGCAUGAAUAAGGACCGGCUAAUUCCGUGCCAGCAGCCGCGGUAAUACGGAAGGUCCGGGCGUUAUCCGGAUUUAUUGGGUUUAAAGGGAGCGUAGGCCGCCAGAUAAGCGUGUUGUGAAAUGUACCGGCUCAACCGGUGAAUUGCAGCGCGAACUGUUUGGCUUGAGUGCACGGUAAGCAGGCGGAAUUCAUGGUGUAGCGGUGAAAUGCUUAGAUAUCAUGAAGAACUCCGAUUGCGAAGGCAGCUUGCUGCAGUGCGACUGACGCUGAUGCUCGAAGGUGCGGGUAUCAAACAGG